rnacentral:ribozyme from 1 species
CCCUGGCGCAGCCGGCCACCUCGACGUGGCGCCAGGGUCUAGCACUCUUUGCCAGGGAGGAAGCCAAGUGGCUGCU